ACUCUCUCUGUUUAAUAGAAAAAAAAAAGUCGUAAAAAAAAAAAAAAAAACUAUUGGCGUUUUCUCUCUGUAACAAAUAAAACGAUUCGAUCUUAGCAAUGGCUAACAUUAAUCUCCUCCGACGAAUCAUCAAGGGAACUCAACAUCUCUUUAGUGAACCAGUUCCCCACCGUCGGAGGAUAGCAUGCGGUAUUUCAAUGUGAAGAUUUUUGGCCCAACACAAUUGCCAUAAGAAGGCAACUCCAAAACUCAGUGAAGAUAAGGUGAAGCAAUGCGUUGACGCUAAAUUAAAUGGAGAUUACCCUCCUAAGGCAGUUGUAGAGGUACUGAAUAUGGGAACUUUGGCUGAAAAUAAUACAUCAAAUUCAAGGUUUCUUGGUGGAAGAGCAAAAGACUGUGAAGAAGGUUUUGAAGAUCCAAAAGUUUUGUAGACUUAUAUAUAUAUUGUAAAUUAGUAAUUUGGAUUCUUGUUUAAGCAAAUUAGUAAUGCUAAGUUGCCACUGCCGUGUGGUUGUUAUUUUCUUGCUGCCAUGUGGGUUGUUGUGGUGGUGUGUGAUGAUCUUGCUGGUGUGGGUUUUCUUUUUUUAGCCUUUUAAUGCUGCUGCUGUGAGUUCUCCAGGUGCUAAGUUGUUGCUGGCGCGUGAGUGCUCUUGUCUUUGCUGGCAUUUUGUGCUUGCGUUUGUGGUCCUGCUCAAAGAUUUGUCUUUUCUGUCAGUUGUGGUUUUUAUUUUCUCGUUUUGUUUUGUUUU